CAGUUUAGCAGCUUCCAGCCACAACCUAGCCCCAGGGCUGUUUUAAGCCCUUUCAGGGCAGGAGCGGGGUAACCACCCUGCUACAACAAGGUAGACAAAGGUUUCAUUGUUCCCAUUUGUAUAUAGAUGGGAAACUGAGGCACAGAGUGAAAUCGCUUGCAUAAGUCCAUCUCUAGUGUCUUAACCAUAAGACAGUCCUUCCUCUCAUUGCUUUUCUUUCUGCAAAAUCUCUUUUAAAGAUAAUCACAGGACAUUAUAUUUUAAAUAUGAGCAGGUCGAAUGACUCAGCACAAGGAAAAUACAGGUGAGGGUCUUUCCUGAAGGCAUAAUAUUUAUUUCCAAAAACCAAAACAAAUUUAACAUAAGAAAAAAAAAAAAGAACAGAAAACUUACCCAGCUUGCAUUUCAUAGAACCUUUUUAUGUGGAGACCUGUAUUCUCACAGGCAUCGUCCUCUCUGUGGCAGAAUCUGAUCC